UCUCUAGGGAACACUCAUAUUUGUUGACUUCAAAUGCAACGAGUUUAACUGAAGAACAAUGGAUUUUUUAAACCAGAUGCCGGAAUCUAGAGGUUUGGCGACAUUUAUCGCCCUGGCAACCGUUCUCCGACGAAGUGUUCCCUGAAGAGGUAGGCGUGGUCAGAACCAGGUGCGAGCGUCUGUUAGCCUGGCCGCAGAUCCACGUGGUUGAGCCGAACGGAGCGGAGGCCAUGUUUGGCAGGAUGUGUGUUGUCAUCGCUUUUUCGACGGAUUAUUAUUUUUCUUUUUUGUUGUGGCAUCGGCGAGAGUUCCACGAGCGCUCGCCGCAUUUGUUUGAAUUCAAGAGACAAUAGGUAUUUUUUGGAAGCAGGAAAGAUGAAAAAUUAGCAAGCACCUUCGCGGGG